AGGUCUCUGCGGUUGCAGCGGGGCCUCCUGGCAAGAGCCCUGCGGGCCAGGCUGAAGACUCGCUCCAGCGUUUUCUCUGCGGCCAAAAGCGCGCCCGUGAUACAUUGGCCAUACAUGUCCAUCGAAGUAUCCAGGGUUGCUGGUUUUAGCCUGUGGAAUAAAAUAUUUCUGGCAGGAACAAGGAGGGGGAAGUUAACAUGGGAAAACUCUGCCAGAGAUCUACUAGAUCCUAAUCCUGUUCUUCCCCGCAUAUCUUGCUGUAGUACUGCUCCCAUUAACCAUGAAUUUCUGGGAGGUCAUAGCAGCAUCAAGACUCAUGAUAAAUGAACUUCUUAUUGCAUCAAAAUUUGUCUGCUAAACUUCAAAGCUAUAUAUUUUAUUUCCACCACAUGUUAACCACAAGUAUCAAGCCUGCUGUCUUACAAGGUUCUAAUAAUAUUUGGACAGACUGAGCUAUAGAAUUUCCAUUGCAGUUCAUGCAUCUGUGAACAAAUAUUUUUCAUUACUGUGAUUGAUCGUAAACAGUGUAAAAUCUGUAUUAAAUGAUCCUCCCUAUCA